rnacentral:rRNA from 1 species
AUUGAACGCUGGCGGCAUGCCUUACACAUGCAAGUCGAACGGCAGCGCGGGGCAACCUGGCGGCGAGUGGCGAACGGGUGAGUAAUAUAUCGGAACAUACCCUAGAGUGGGGGAUAACGUAGCGAAAGUUACGCUAAUACCGCAUACGCACUAAGGUGGAAAGUGGGGGAUUCGCAAGAACCUCAUGCUCAUGGAGUGGCCGAUAUCUGAUUAGCUAGUUGGUGAGGUAAAGGCUCACCAAGGCAACGAUCAGUAGCUGGUUUGAGAGAACGACCAGCCACACUGGAACUGAGACACGGUCCAGACUCCUACGGGAGGCAGCAGUGGGGAAUUUGGGACAAUGGGGGCAACCCUGAUCCAGCAAUGCCGCGUGAGUGAAGAAGGCCUCGG